AACCAGAAGGCGCAAUGAAAGUGAAGGCACGGUCGCCGUGCUGAGGUGAGAGCCCGCGCGACGGGCGCAUCAUCGACCGACUCCAUCCGAGCCCUCGGUGCGGCGGAGUUCGAGUGAGAGUGUACCUGUUGCGACCCGAAAGAUGGUGAACUAUGCCUGAAUAGGGUGAAGCCAGAGGAAACUCUGGUGGAGGCCCGCAGCGAUUCUGACGUGCAAAUCGAUCGUCAAAUUUGGGUAUAGGGGCGAAAGACUAAUCGAACCAUCUAGUAGCUGGUUCCCUCCGAAGUUUCCCUCAGGAUAGCUGUAGCCCGAAGCAGUUUUAUCAGGUAAAGCGAAUGAUUAGAGGUAUCGGGGAAGAAACUUCCUCGACCUAUUCUCAAACUUUAAAUAGGUAAGACGUCCGACUUGCUCGAUUUGAAGCCGGACAGUGAAUGCUGGGUUACUAGUGGGCCAUUUUUGGUAAGCAGAACUGGCGAUGCGGGAUGAACCGAACGCCGGGUUAAGGUGCCAAAGUCGACGCUCAUCAGAUCCCACAAA
rnacentral:rRNA from 1 species